rnacentral:lncRNA from 1 species
CUUGUUUGGCCCAAAUCACACAUCUCCCCUGAUUCCAUUUGAUUCUGACUUUGGAUGGACUGUCUUUCAGUGUUGAGAGGAAAAUGAAGGACAGAGUCUGAGUGUCAGCCCCUGCAGCCAGCCCACACAUCAGCAGCCCAUGAAGUCAGAGUGCCAGGCACUGGAGACAGCAGAGUGGCUAAUGUGCCAACAGCUAGAGUGAGACCUUAGUGUCAUAGAGGCCCAUGUGCCUGUGCUGCCAAUUAUUGGAGCAAGUACAGCUGUGGAGACCUGUGCACUCUGAUCCAGAGUACUGAGGGCUCAUUGAGAGUGGAGCAGUCAGCAUGAAAUUCAGAAAGUGUGUGCUGGAGUCCAUUGCUUUCUUGGAGUCAAGUGUUAACAUAAGGCAAACCACUGAGAUCCUGUUGUUUUUGGGGGCAUUUCACCUGAAAUAAGAUGGUCUGAACAAUUUUUAAUAUUUUUAUUUGUAAACUCUUUAUGUUGAUAUAAGGCAGAGGAUUUACACACCAUACAUCACAUACUG